rnacentral:miRNA from 1 species
UCUGUUCCAAAUUGUAAGUCG